rnacentral:rRNA from 1 species
UACAGAGGGUGCGAGCGUUGUUCGGAAUUAUUGGGCGUAAAGAGCUCGUAGGCGGCUUGUCACGUCGAUUGUGAAAGCCCGAGGCUUAACCUCGGGUCUGCAGUCGAUACGGGCUAGCUAGAGUGUGGUAGGGGAGAUCGGAAUUCCUGGUGUAGCGGUGAAAUGCGCAGAUAUCAGGAGGAACACCGGUGGCGAAGGCGGAUCUCUGGGCCAUUACUGACGCUGAGGAGCGAAAGCGUGGGGAGCGAACAGG